rnacentral:rRNA from 1 species
GACGAACGCUGGCGGCGUGCUUAACACAUGCAAGUCGAACGGAAAGGCCUGCUUUCCCUUGUGGAUUGCGGGUACUCGAGUGGCGAACGGGUGAGUAACACGUGAGUGAUCUGCCCCCAACUUGGGUAUAAGCCUGGGAAACUGGGUCUAAUUCCCGAUAGGACUGCAGGGUGGUGCCUGUGGUGGAAAACGAUUUUCUAGUGGUUGGGGAUGAGCUCGCGGCCUAUCAGCUUGUUGGUGGGGUAAUGGCCUACCAAGGCGGCGACGGGUAGCCGGCCUGGGAGGGUCGACGGGAACAGUGGGACUGCGACACGGCCCAUACGCCUACGGGAGGCAGCAGUGGGGAAGAAGGCACAGUGGGCGGAAGCCUGAUGCAGCGACGCCGCGUGGGGGAUGACGGGCUUCGGGUUGUAAACUCCUUUCGGCCGCGAGGAAGCCACCUGGUUGGAAGGGUGGUGACGGUAGUGGUAGAAGAAGCACCGGCUAACUACGUG